rnacentral:rRNA from 1 species
GACGAACGCUGGCGGCGUGCCUAAUACAUGCAAGUCGAACGCAGUGGGGACGGGUGAGUAACACGUGGGUAACCUCCCAUCAGAUGGGAUAACACUUGGAAACAGGUGCUAAACCGAUACUGAUGGAUGGACCCGCGGUGCAUUAGCUAGUUGGUGAGGUAACGGCUCACCAAGGCCACGAUGCAUAGCCGGUCUGAGAGGGUGAGCAGCCACACUGUGAAUGAGACACGGCCCAGACUCCGACGGGAGGCAGCAGGGGGGAAUCUUGGACAAUGGGCGAAAGUCUGAGGGAGCAAUGCCGCGUGAGUGAAGAAGGUUUGCGGGUGGUAAAAUUCUUUUGGGAGAGAAGCGGUAUCGAAACAGAAAGCAACGGCUAACUACGUGCCAGAAGCCGCGGUAAUUC